UGCGGGGUAGUGCAAUGGUAGUCACGCCUGCCUCUGAAGCAGGAGAUCCUGGUUCGAGUCCAGGCCCCGCAG
rnacentral:tRNA from 1 species